ACACCACCUCACCCGAGCAGACAAGCACAAACCAAGCGGGGGAGAAGAGAAGCCUGACGACCACCAGCACCCCGAGCCCCCCACUUCAACAACGUGAGUGGAAGGGCCUGCCCGGGGUUGGGAUUCAGCCAGGAACACACCUACCGCCAUAACCGAGAAAUGUGAACCAGGAUACUGUACUGUGUGGACACUUCUUCCUCCCACAACUGGUUUUACAUACCUAAGAUCACCACUUCAUAGCAGUUAGGUUGUGAGGAUAUGGAGAGAAAAGAAUAAAACCAGUGGCCCCACUUAAUUGCAGUUUACGGUUCCUCAUCCCAACAUGAAGGCUGGAGACAAAGCAAUGGACGGAAAUGGAGAGAGGGAUACCAAGGACUUGAAAACAUGGGCCUUUUACGUAAGUUUU